rnacentral:rRNA from 1 species
UACGUAGGGUGCGAGCGUUGUCCGGAAUUACUGGGCGUAAAGCGUGCGCAGGCGGUUCGUUAUGUCCGAUGUGAAAGCCCCGAGCUUAACUUGGGAAUGGCAUUGGAAACUGGCGGGCUGGAGUGCGGCAGAGGGGGGUGGAAUUCCACGUGUAGCAGUGAAAUGCGUAGAGAUGUGGAGGAACACCGAUGGCGAAGGCAGCCCCCUGGGCCGACACUGACGCUCAGGCACGAAAGCGUGGGGAGCAAACAGG